rnacentral:rRNA from 1 species
GACGAACGCUGGCGGCGUGCUUAACACAUGCAAGUCGAACGGUGAUGCUCCAGCUUGCUGGAGUGGAUCAGUGGCGAACGGGUGAGUAACACGUGAGCAACCUGCCCCAGACUCUGGAAUAAGCGCUGGAAACGGCGUCUAAUACUGGAUACGAAACUGGCCCGCAUGGGCAUGGUUUGGAAAGUUUUUCGGUUUGGGAUGGGCUCGCGGCCUAUCAGCUUGUUGGUGAGGUAAUGGCUCACCAAGGCGACGACGGGUAGCCGGCCUGAGAGGGCGACCGGCCACACUGGGACUGAGACACGGCCCAGACUCAUACGGGAGGCAGCAGUGGGGAAUAUUGCACAAUGGGCGAAAGCCUGAUGCAGCGACGCCGCGUGAGGGAUGACGGCCUUCGGGUUGUAAACCUCUUUCAGCAGGGAAGAAGCGAAAGUGACGGUACCUGCAGAAGAAGCACCGGCUAACUACGUG